rnacentral:rRNA from 1 species
GACGAACGCUGGCGGCGUGCUUAACACAUGCAAGUCGAACGGAAAGACCCGGCGUUUGUUGCGUGCUCGAUUGGCGAACGGGUGAGUAACACGUGAGUAACCUGCCCUUGACUGUGUGGUAACAUCAGGAAACUGGGGCUAAUACCCGGUAGGAUCUCCUGCUCCAUGGGGGGGGUUGGAAAGAUUCGGCUGUGGGGGCUGGACUCGCGGCUUAUCAGCUUGCUGGUGGGGUAGUGGCUUACAAAGGCUUUGACGGGUAGCCCGCCUGGGAGGGUGAACGGCCACCUUGGGCCUACGAUACGGCCCAGACGCCUACGGGAGGCAGCAGUGGAGAACCUUGCGCAGUGGGCCGACGCCUGAUACAGCAACGCCGCGUGCGUGAUGCCGGCUUUCGGGUUGUAAACCGCUUUCGCAUGUGCCGAAGCCUGAGUGACGGUACUGGGUCAAAAAGCACCGGCUAACUACGUG